UAUUCAUGCCUUUGCCUGGGGGAUGAUGCAUUGAUACAUGUUGACCUAAUGACCCCUAUUUGGUCGGUAACUUAGGAAAGUGGAAACACUACAAAGCAGUAUAUUGACUGUCUUUUAUAUCCCUAAAGCCCUUUUUGGGUAGCCCAAUCCCAGGCAAGCCCAGUUUUCUUGGGCUGAGAUCCUGGCUGGUUUGGGGCCAACCAAACAAGGCUUCAAAAGUUUCAUGUUGUCAGUUAUGCUCUGUAGAGUUCCAUAAGAGAUGUUUGGAUUAGUAGAAGCCUUAGUUCGUAGUAAUAGAAGACAUUCCAUUUGUCGACACAACUCUCUGCUGUUGAGCAAUUACCUUAUUUCAACACGGUUGUAUUUUGUGAUUUUGUCCAUUUAUGUUCAACACGGCCAAAAUUAUCACAGUUGUGGUGCAAUUAUGCUAAUCAGUUUUCUGUUA
rnacentral:lncRNA from 1 species